rnacentral:ncRNA from 1 species
AUUCCAUCCGGGCAAACUUGCCGAAAGGCAAAGACGCAAUGCUACGGGACUAAUGGAUUUUUCCAAUGUCAGCCGGGUUGCAAGU